AUUGAACGCUGGCGGCAGGCCUAACACAUGCAAGUCGAACGGUAACAGGAAGAAGCUUGCUUCUUUGCUGACGAGUGGCGGACGGGUGAGUAAUGUCUGGGAAACUGCCUGAUGGAGGGGGAUAACUACUGGAAACGGUAGCUAAUACCGCAUAACGUCGCAAGACCAAAGAGGGGGACCUUCGGGCCUUUUGCCAUCGGAUGUGCCCAGAUGGGAUUAGCUAGUAGGUGGGGUAACGGCUCACCUAGGCGACGAUCCCUAGCUGGUCUGAGAGGAUGACCAGCCACACUGGAACUGAGACACGGUCCAGACUCCUACGGGUGGCAGCAGUGGGGAAUAUUGCACAAAGGGCGCAAGCCUGAUGCAGCCAUGCCGCGUGUAUGAAGAAGGCCUUCGGGUUGUAAAGUACUUUCAGCGGGGAGGAAGGGAGUAAAGUUAAUACCUUUGCUCAUUGACGUUACCCGCAGAAGAAGCACCGGCUAACUCCGUG
rnacentral:rRNA from 1 species